CUUACCAGGAGCGCCUUCUUCGAGCCACGGCAGCAAUGAGGUGCUACACCGCAUCGAGUACCAAGACACGAGCAUCGCGGCACUGAGUGACCACAUUCUUGUGCGCAAGGUUUUCGUAUGUAACACCACCGCAUUCCCUCCGGCAAGUUUUCGGUGUCGCUGCUGAUGUCUCCACAAGGAAACGAAGGACGAUGGCCAACGAAAAUUUCGCGUAACAAGCUGGAGUGAGCCAGUUCAAGUCGACCCGUGCAUAAAGCAUCUCUUCCCGGAACGAGAUGAAACUGCAUGUCAUGUGGAAUGCCAUUGCCACUUGUUCCGAUGCCUGGGAUACUUCCGAGCCCACCAGUUCCUGUACCGGUAGCAGCGCCACCAUUGCCACUUGUUCCGAUGCCUGGGAUACUUCCGAGCCCACCAGUUCCUGUACCAGUAGCAGCGCCACCAUUGCCACUUGUUCCGAUGCCUG